GGUGCCUUCGGGAACGUCUGACACAGGUGCUGCAUGGCUGUCGUCAGCUCGUGUCGUGAGAUGUUGGGUUAAGUCCCGUAACGAGCGCAACCCUUGUCCUUAGUUACCAGCACGUUAUGGUGGGCACUCUAAGGAGACUGCCGGUGGACAAACCGGAGGAGGGUGGGGAGUGACGUCAAGUCAUCAUGGCCCUUACGGCCUGGGCUACACACGUGCUACAAUGGUCGGUACAAAGGGUUGCCAAGCCGCGAGGUGGAGCUAAUCCCAUAAAACCGAAUCGUAGUCCGGAUCGCAGUCUGCAACUCGACUCCAUGAAGUUGGAAUCGCUAGUAAUCGUGGAUCAGCAUGCCACGGUGAAUACGUUCCCGGGCCUU
rnacentral:rRNA from 1 species